AAGUAAAAUAACAUUUUGUUAAAAUUAGCUUAUUGAAAGAUCAGCAAUCGAUGUUAUAUUAUGUCCAAGAUGUCCAAGAUGAUAUCCUGAAUAUAAGUUCGAUGAUGU